rnacentral:lncRNA from 1 species
ACCUGUGGUAUAUGGAAGUUCCCAGGCUAGGGGCUGAAUUGGAGCUGCAGCAGACAGCCUACACCACAGCUGUAGCAACACUGGAUCCAGUCUGCAUCCAGGGUCUACACCACCACUUGUAGCACCACUGGAUCCUUAACCCAGUGAGCGAAGCCAGGCAUGGAACCCACGUCCUCAUGGACACCAUGCAGGGUUCUUAACCAGCUGAGCCACCACGGGAACUCUGCCAUGCAUUUUGAAAUCAUUGCUUUUGACUCGAUACCCGCUGCAUCAGACUCACCUGCAGGUGUUUGUUAGACGUAAAGAUUCUCGGUCCGUGGGCUCAGCAUCUAGGGUUGGCGGAGUCACAGACGCAGGACUUCAACAAGUCCAAGGACAGGGCAGACGGUGAGCCACAGGGAUGGCCCCACAGUGUCUCCCUCCACUGGCCCUUCUGCCAUGUGACCUGCAGAUCCCAGAACUAGCGUCCGGUUCUCCACCACUGGGAGUCCCCUACAGGCCUGGGACCUCUUUGACCAACAGACUAUGACAGAAGUGACCUUGUUCCUAUUAGUUCCCUGAUCAGCCCUAACUGGCCUCACAAGCUUAGCUUAGCUUCCUGCCUCUAUGUAAGCCAGUGCCACCAUGUAAGGGCUACAACUACCCAUGGAAGGGGAGUAGCCGGAGAGUCUCCAGGGGAUAAAAGGACAAGGGGGAGGUGGGGUGGGCAAGGAGUUAAAAGGGAAGUGCAGGGAGGCUGAGGGAGAAACAUGGAGGGACAGAAAGAGGAAAGGAGGUGAGAAGGAGAAGGAGAGAGAUGUGAGAUAUAAAAUACUACCUGCCACAUCCCUAAACAAAGAAGGUCAUGGUCAUCAGAGGGCAGCCCCCUCCUAGGGGUGGGCGGUGAGCCCUGAGGGAACUCAGGAAGUUAACAAAGAACACCUGCCACCCAGCAGCCACUGGACGGCAGCCCCUCCCUACAGGGAGCCCUCAGGGAGCGACGGCAGUGGUACUGGCCCCAGGUAGCUGACGUGCCUCUCAAAGGAACGAUGUCAGUAAGCCAGACCUUGCAUCUUCCCCUACAGAGAGACAUGCUAAAUUCUUUAGGUUGAGAGAUCUAGUUUCCUGUUAUGAAUAGGCAUCUUUUCUUCAGACUCCCUGCUCCUAGUUGCAAAACUCCCGAAUCUCCUAGCUCCUCCCUGGCCUCCUCUGAGUGGUAUUUAAGAGCUCUAUGAAAUGCUGCCUCCCUGGGCUAGAGUCCUCAUUUUGCCCCAGAGGAAACUUAAGGCACAAUUCUCAACAUUGUGCUUUUUUUCCCAAGUCUAUGGAGGGAGAGGGAAAAGAAGAAGGAGGAAGAGAAAGAGGAAGGGGGAGGGAGAGAAAGGGGAGAGAGAGAGAGAGAGAACCUGAGGAGCAAUGAUGCCCAGACAAGAGGAGCUGAUAAACCACAGUGCAUAAGAAACUUUCAGCCCCAACUGCCUCCAUCUGAUGCCAGGAUAGUCAUCCAUCAACGCCCCAACUAUGGUUUUUGGAAAUUGCCAGCCAAAUAAAAUGGUUGUUUUAAACCACUAAGAGUUGCAAUCAUUUUAGCAGCAAGCAGUAGCCAACCGCAAGGAGUAGCUGUUCUGCCACAACUCUGGGGGUCAAGGAGGACCUUUCCCUGCUCCUCACAGGUGCUCAGGUCAAGCCCACCCUCAGGCUGAGUCUGCGCUCAGCCUGAAGCACUAGAAACAGGCUGUGUCUUUCAUCCCCAUCUCACCAGCCCGCCCAGGCUCCCUUUGCCCAGCUGGGCAGAACCAUAACUGGAGCAGGGACAGUAGUGGCACUUAGAAGGUGCCAAACAUUAAAAUAAUGAUGGUUUUAGAUGCAUGCAAAUGUCCAAGCCCCCUUCUCUCUUAGCAAAUGCUCACUGCCCCAAAUUGACAAAUGAAUUCUCUGAGUGUCCCAGCCCAUUGAUGGCCGUGAUCUUAAAAUACAGUAGUUACCAGUGUACCCUUGAUUUGUGAAGUUCAGGAUCAUGACAAUAAAAUAACAGGGACCCGCAUUCAGUGCCUAUGACCUGGCAGGCUGCACGGUGUUAUCUGCAUUCAUCCACCAUAAAAACCUAAAGAGAGGCCUUAAGAUCAUUUCCAAGAGGAAACUGAGACACACGGAGUUUAAGUAACUUGCUCAAGGCCACACACAGAGGCAGGGCACCCCCAGCGAGUAUUUUCCCAAACUCUUCUUCACUGCCUCUAGUUUUUGAUACAGAAGUUGCAGAUCAAAUGCCAGGGAACAAAACCUGGCUGAAUUUAAAGGAAGAUGAACUACUCUAGAAUUCCUUGUAAGUUUAAGCAGUUUUCACAGUAACUGAUUCAACAAAAACAAGCACAGAAAAAUAACAUGUUUGAAUUUCCUACAUCAUAUAAUACACGUUGAACUGCUUAUAUCAUGAGGCCAACUGCAACAGCUAAGCAAUUGCUGUUAGUUUCAAUCCAUGACAUUCGGUCACGGGGAAGCUAUUUGGCCCCCCACCCUUUCCAGGGAACAUAUGGGAAUGUCUGGGGACCUUGUGGUUGUCCUAAUGGGGGGCAGGGUAUUGCAGAAAGGGGGGACCCCUUCUAGGACCCGAGCAUGGGCUCCCGUCUAACACUCAGAAAUGAACUGUGCGAGGAGACACAGGUGCUGACAAAAGCAAAAGACUUGGCUGGGAAGGGGCGCCGGCAGAAAGCAGGAGGGCGAGGGAACCCAGGAGAGCUGCUCUGCCACGUGGCUCGGGUUUGAUGAGAAUGGGGUUAGUCUGUGGGUUGUCUCUGGCCAGUCCUUGGUCCAACGCAGCCUCCUUCUUGGUGGUGCGAGCACCUCUCAGCCAAGAUGGAUUCCAACGCUAAGGAUGCUGGGAGGUUGGUCAUCCCCCACCCUCUUAUUCUCCCCGCCCCCCCAUUCUCCUGGUUAGUCUUCAGGGCAGCAAAAUGUUCCUUAUCAGGGCCUCCUGCUGGGAGACAGCUCGUGCAGGGGGCCGCUAUCUUGCCUGGCCAAGGUGGGUAAUUUCUGCCAAGGGUCCCCUAACAAGGGCACUGGAGGUACAGAGGGCCCUCCCUCCUUCCUCCACCAUGAAAAGGGAUUAUCCAGUUGGCAAAACCAACAGUGCAAGACGCCUCUCUGACUGUCUGGUCCCUGAUGCCGUGAUCCCAGCUCUCUGCUCCCCGGGCCUGGGUGAGGUCACGCGUGGGCAUUUAACCACAGAGGCCUGGGAGAGCGUAAACCUUAUCGUGUCCACUAGAACAUACGCUUCUGCUGGGUCUUCCUGCCCUUCCUUCCCUGGCAGAACGCCAGGCAAAUGGUCAGCACCUGAUAUUUAUUUGUCAAUAUCUUCUCCCUUAUAAGGUCUAUCUCUAGAAAACUUGAUAGGAGAGACUCCAAGCAAACCACGUAACUGCUUCCUUCUGAAAAAAUGACUUUUAUGAAACCCUCCUCUCCCCCUCCGGAGGCAUAUGAAAAACAAACUUCCUCUGAUUUUAUGGAUUUACUUAUCUUAAAAUUUCUCUAACAGGAAGAGGGACACAAACUUGAAGUUUUGAACCUGCAGUGUUGACACCCAGCUGUUUUAUACCAUUGGCUCAUUGCUGUUUUGUUUUGUUUUGUUUUUUCUUUCCACUUAAUAGCAAUACAUCUAGGGCAUGAAUUAAAUUCUACGCUAUUUUUUUUUUUCUUGUCUUUUUAGGGCCACACCUGUGGCAUAUGGAGGUUCCCAGGCUAGGGGUCUAAUCAGAGCUAGAGCUGCCAGCCUACACCACAGCCACAGCAACACUGAGCCACGCCUGCAACCUACACCAUAGCUCACGGCAAUGCUGGAUCCUUAACCCACUGAGCAAGGCCAGGGAUUGAACCCGCAAUCUCAUGGUUCCCAGUCGGAGUCAUUUCCACUGUGCCAUGAUAGGAACUCCAAUUCUACACUGUUCUUGAUUUCAGUUUGUAAGGUUGCAUUUAUAGAAUUUUUCUUUCAUGUCUGCCUCUCCUGAAUCAUUCACUCACCUCAUUUCUUUUGUCACUUUUCUCUCUCUUCCUCCUUCAAUUUUAGAUUUAGAUUAAUCACUGAUCUGCUAUAUGCCUAUUUUAGCCAUGCUACACCCAGUAGUCAAAAUUAAGAAACUGUUAACCCAAAUUAGUCACUGAUAUUAAGGCGUAAGUGGAGGGGAUAUUAGUGUUUGCAAAAAUCAAUAGAUAAGUAAAUUAAAGUGAAUGCUGUUCACUUCUAUGUUUGCUCUACAUUAACUUACUGUGUUGGUUCUAUAUUUUUCUCUAAAAAGAAAAGAAAUAAAGAGCAAGUGGUUCCUUGGUUUGCAAAUCACAAUUACAGUCUAUGUAUUUCACCCUCUUGGACUUAUCACUAGACGUAUCUCUGCCAACAGAGGAAUAAUUGGCUUUUCAUUAAUCAUGCAAUUGAAGGGAGGAGAGAGACAAAGUGAAAUGGGCAACAGAAGCUCAGAUCAGAUACCUCAGUGGAUAAUCCCCAAACCUUGUCUAUUUUGUCUUUGUGAGGGGCUCAGAUGGCAUGUGGGCUUGUGGCCACAGGUCCAUGAUGUGGGCGCCCUCUGACUGCCACCCCGCCCAGCUCCACUGCAGUUGCUCAGUGUUUGAGGCUGGACAGGGCCUGGUUCUUGGGAGGCGCUACACCUGGGGGAUAAGCCUCAGCACAUGCAACCCGCCUCACUUUGGGGAAUCACACAUGCCUGUGGGAUAUUCGCCAUCAACAUCAGCAAAGGUGCCCCAAACCCAGGGACUUGCCUUGGGUUCAGAAGUCAUAAUUCUGCCAGCCUCCACGAGCUGGAUACGAAUUCAUCUUUCUGCUCUCUCCAGGGUUCUGUGGUCCAGAUACCCUGGCAAAAAGCUCUUCAGAGAUCCAUGGACCAGCCUCUCUGCUUAACCUCUCAGAACUCCAAGGCCUGCACCUGUUACUUGCUCUGUCCAAGGACACUGGGUCCCAGCCCUUCACCCAUAGAGCAGAGCACCGCCUCUUCCUGUACCUCGAGGACUCAAGGCGGAACUGGCUUCCUAAGGAGCCAACAAUCUAGCCCCCUCCCAUAGCUACCUGGUCCACAAUUCAUUCAUUCUUUCAUUCAUUCUCUCUCUCACUCUUCCACUUCCACUAGCUGUUUUCCUCCUCCUUCUCUUCUCCAUUGCCACUAAGAUUUUCAGUUUCCUUUUCACAUACCCACUAGACAGUCAGCUGGAUGCCUCACCAUCACUCAAGGUCACUUGGGUCAAAGCCGUAUUUCUCGCCUUCUAUCUUUUCAAUACAACCAACAUCCAGCCCCUCUGACCCCACUCUUCUGCUGCUCUCCAGAACUUCGAUGCUUCAAGGCACAGUUUUCAUAGCUCAUGAUUGGAUCCAUUCCCACAAAGUAUGACUGACACCAGUGCUCUCCCUUCCCGAAGUUCAUGUUCAAAGCAGGAAUCCCAAUGCCUCUACGUCCUUACUCAGCAGGCAUGAAAAGGAUUUGGGGAUUUCCAGCUUUAAAAGUCUAUUUGAGUGAAUCUGAUGACCUAACAGAUUCUAGAGCCACAGUGUUAAAAAAUCAGUGAGCCGCUUGUCCUAACUUGCAUUUGGAACACUCAUUCUAGUGGAAAAGGCACUGCACAGAAAUGAACUAACCUUCGUGGAUUAGAAUUAAGCGAACAAAGAGAGAGAUGAGAGACCAAAUAAUUCACAGCGUUUGGAUCAUAAGCUUGACAGAAUUUUCCAGUGGCUCAGAUGGUUUGUGGGCAUUAAAAGGGAAAGGAAGGGGCGAUGGGAAGGGGAGAGGAGGAGUCGCUGUCCCUGCAUCCUGCUCCUUAGUAUUUACCUUGGGAGGUUAAGAGUAGCUAGGAGGUCUGAGGUCUAAGCUGGAGUUCACCAAGGUCACAGAUGUGAGAUACUGAUGAGUUGUCCUCAAAGGCAAAGUCAGGAGAAAGAUGGUGCCUGCCACGGAGUUCCUGUUGUGGCUCAGUGGUUAACAAAUCCGACUAGGAACCAUGAGGUUGCAGAUUCGAUCCCUGGCCUUGUUCAGUGGGUUAAGGAUCCGGUGUUGCCAUGAGCUGUGGUGUAGGUCCUGUGUUGCUGUGGCUCUGGCGUAGGCUGGUGGCUACAGCUCCAAUUAGACCCCUAGCCUGGGAACCUCCACAUGCCACGGGAGCAGCCCUAGAAACGGCAAAAAGAAAAAAAAAGAUGGUGCCUGUCAAGUAGGAGCCCUGGUGAGUUUCCAUGCAUGCUGAGCUCUUCGCACACAGAUGGACACACACAUCAUAACAUCUGGGCAUCAGCUAAGAUGACCACUGUAUCAGUAAGACCCAGGAAAACCGAGCCUCUUUACUUUGCUAAAUAUCUUCAGAGCAUCCCAUCAUCACACAUAUCUGGAAGCUCCUGUUGGAUAUCACUGUAUUAUCCCAAGAGUGCUCAACGAUUCUAGGUUGAAUUAGCAGAAAAUACAGUUUCUAUUUGCCAAAUAAAACUGUGACCAACCGUGAAGCAAAGAGAGGAGUGCUUAUCAUCUAAAGGGUAUUUUAAUAUGAUGAAUGAUAAUUAAGACUUAAAACUCCAAAUGCUGCCAUGU